UUUAGCUCUGCUCAUGUGUAAUCUUCUCCACGAAAGACCUUCAGGGCCAUCUUGUUCCUCUAUUUGUCUGGAGGAAGGUGUUGGAGAUCCUGGUGAUCCCGCGCACGCACAACAACAUGUGUACGGCAUGUUAUUUAUCGAGAACUAACUCGCUCUGAGACGGGCACAACGAUGGGCUCUUGGAAUUAUAGCUUGGAUAACUGGAUUCAUUGGUCUGCAUCUGUUUCGGCAAAUAAUCCAAAGAAGGUGGCCUGAUUCUCUGCGUACCGUAAGACAAUUGGAUAAGAUCGAUCUGAGUCGCUUUGCUCGACUUUUUCACCGUUUCCUCGCUGCUUUUGUGCGGGCCGACUGCAUUGUUCUUAUCGUACUUCUCGUUCGUAACUUUUACAUCUUGGAUCAGCGUACUGUUAAAAGAUUUCCCUUCGCCGAGAUUAUUAUUCGACAUAAUUGCUUAUUCGUUAUCUCCUAUUUCCGUAUUGUCGAAGUCUCAUCGUCAACAACAUCUGUCGUCAAAAGGUUUUCGAUAUCAGUACCUCGUCGAUACUCCAUCCAUCGUUCUGGAAAGAGAGAUCAAAGAAUCUUAGCGCAAUUUUCACGAACACCCGACAUUAUCAUCGUUUCCUUUCCAACGUUAAAUCACUGCAGAGUGCAUACGUACGAUCACCGAUUAUCAUGCGUUCCAGUUUUUUUGCACCAUAUCCCAUAGCCUCUUUUUCUCUCUCUCUCUCUCGUGCCACUUUUCCCGAAUUAGGAUUCCUUUUGACGAAUUAAACUGUAGUCGAUAUUCCCAUACUAUAUAUUAUUGUAUAUAUAUCGUCGUGACACUGAACAAUUAAUUACAUCCGUUCCAGGUGGCGAGCGCACACGCAUUUUUCCCAACGCAUUAAUUUAGAAAGCGGUUUAAGCAUGGAACGAUCGUCCGGACCAGAGUAGCGAGUAGCUGCAAGUUAUUAUAGUCGAAUACUGACCAACGAAAACGCGGCGUUGCAUCGUCGUUCAGACACACAUGACGUAUUCGUCUGAAUCAUAACAAUAGUAUUAAUUGCCUCGGAACCAUAUCGGCUACAUAAUAACCGGCUACACGACCUUAACGUACGUGAGUUCUACCUGACCGUUCCCGUAUACCUGUAAUAUCUCUUAUGUAUUACCUCUCCUCUCUCGCGGGUUUCCGUUGAAAGAUGCGACCGCGGCCAAUGACGCUUGUUUUCUUGCUUUUAAAAUGGAGAUAAGGUAAUCGUGGGGAGCGUGUCGAGCCCAGGUAUCGAGAUGCCACCGUGGCAAUCGUGUAAUUAAUUGCAUUGCUCGAGAGGAAAUCUCUCUCUGGUCAAUUUUCAUAUUCCCUUAGUUACGCUCCGUUUGGUUCUGUCUGGUCGAGUGAGAAUGUUUUUGAUCGGGAAAGUUUCUCCAUCUUGAUUACGAUAUCCGCGAUUAUCUCUGCAUUUAAUGGUUUUUACCUUGUCAUAAUUAAUUUUUUUUUUUUUUAAAGGAAAAAAAAGAGACGAGGAUUGAAAAUAUUUUGCGCGAUUGUAAUUAGAAAUAUCGGAUAAUUUAUCUUAAUUGCGUUUAACUAUGUCGAGACAAAAUACCGGUUGAAAUAAAAUUUUCUCGAAGGUAUUUAGCCAAAGUUUUCAAGUUUAUCGUUUUAUUUAAAAUUCAAAAUGUUUCUUUUGCCAAAGGUAUUUUAAAUUGUGGAAUAAAUGGAAUUAUUUACAUAAGAUGAGGAUUUUAUGCUUACGAAUGAUACGUGGCAUUUUCUUCGCGUGUUUGCACAUAGAUAAGUGGAUUUUGAAUUCGUUGGAACACAAUCGGGAGUUAUUGCGGAAAAACCAUUUUCGAUGGCGAAUACAACGACGAGAUGGAAAUAUCAUUUACGAAAGAUUGAUUAUUCUGGACAAAAUAAUAUUUGAAUAUAUUUGAAUAUAACGCAAUAAUGCAUAUUUGAUGCGUCGUUAAAACUAAUCAUACUAAAUUUUAAAUUUAUAUGAUUGGAAAAGAAAAAGAAAUAUUUACUGAAAAAAAAAAACUGAACAUGAGCUGACUUCGAUCGAUAAAAAUAAGUACUUGACAUAUUUUCUAUUCUUUUCUUUCCUAUCAGUAGUUACUCAGCAAUGAUUAGAAGCAAACGUAUAAAAUUUUUCGUUUAUUUACAACUUACGAAAUAAUAGAAAAUGGAUCGAAGAUUUUAACGAAGAUUUCACCAUGAAAAUUACAAAUUUUUUUUCAUAUAAGAGUCACAACAUUAUAUACAAUUUUAGGAAAAAUUCAAAAAUUUAUGGGAAACAAAAAUUGAAAAACUUUGUAUCAGUUAUAAUAUAGAAAAUGAUUACAGAUAUUUUUUUUUUAUUUUAAAAACACUGGAAGAAAAGUAGAAAAAUCAGUGGAAAGUGAAGGUUUUAUCUAGAUGAAGAAUACAUUUUAUAAAAAGGAAAUUGUAUAAGUUUGGUUAUGAUUAUGAGAAAAUUGACACUGAAAUAUACAUGUAAUGUACAAAAAAUAAUUUAAUGAUAUUAAAAAAUUAAAAGAUAAUAUUAAAAAUUGAAAUUAAAUUACUAUUAAAAUAGAAAAAAAUAAAAAAUAACAUAAAACAAUUCAUUUAUUUAAUAUUGUACAAUGAAAAAUAAUUUUAACGAAUAUUGACAUUAUAUUUGAUAAAAUAUUUGUGUAAAACAAUUCUAAUUUUUAAUCAAUAUCGCAUCAUUGUAUGAUUAUUUUUUGUUAAUUCAAUUUAUAUUCAAAUUUUUUUAAAAUGCUUAAACUUUUUUUUUUUAAUCUAAGAUUUAAAAUGUUUAUUUAUAAAGUAUAUUUUUUCUUCGAAUUUUGCGAAAUAUUUAAAUAUAUUAAAUGUUUUAUCUAUUCAAGGGAAUCGUUAAUUUAUGUUAAUUUAUGUUACAAGUAUUAAUGAUAUAAUCAUCAUCGAUAUAAUCAUCCGUGAGUAAAUAAUAUAAUUUAUUACAAUACAUUAAUCGUAUUUCUUUUUGUUUUCACAUUGCGCGAUUAAAAAGUCAUUUAUAUAAAUGACUAUUUUAAAUAUUUAAAAAUAUUUCACGGCCAUUAUAUAUUCCUUUAUUGGUAUUCUGUGGAGUAGGAAUGACGAUGCAAGAUCAGUUUCAAGGAAUCAUGUGUGAAUGUGUGCCACUGAUUUACAGGGAAAAUUUUAUCUAUUCGUUAUUUCAUUUGCAUAUCAAUUGUACGUUUAAAGUUAGUGAGAAUUAGAAGAAUGGGAAAAACCUGUGAGAAUUUAUUUUUAUUUUUUUUUUUUGAGAGAAUAAAUUUUAUUUUAUUAUUUUUUUUUCCAAAAUAUUUUCCUUCUUUUAUUACAGAUUCUUCUUUCCUUUAUUUGAUAAAAAAGUUUUAUUUAUAAGUAAAAAGGAAUGAAACUUGAGAUUAAGUAAUAUUUAUAAGUGAUAUUUAUGUUAAGUGUAUCUAGAAGAGAUUGGGGAACUGAGAUCUGAAUAAAGAGAUAAAAAUGGUAAAGGGAACAAUUUUUUUUUAUUUCAUGUAUAUUCUUUAAAGCUAAACAGAUUUCAGACUACUGUAAAAUGAAGGUACACGCAAAAUAUGGAUGAAGAUAGAUUUUUUGAUAAUUGUAAGACAAGAAUUUAUAUAUUAUAAUAUUAUAUUUCCAAAAUUAUUCAAAAUUUUUAUAAUAUUAAUAAAUAUUUUUAUUAUCGUAAAAAUAACAAUAUAAAGUUAUAUAUUAGUAUAAUUUAUUAAAUAUAUAUUGUUAUAUUUUUUUAAAAUCAAAAAUAAUCAUAGGAAAUUAAAAUUUAGGAAGUAAAUUUAAGUUAUUCAAGAAAAUAUUAGAAAAAAUAUUAUAUGAUCUCAUCCAUUGAAUGAUUUAUGAUAUAUUUUUACAAAAAUAUAUGAUUUGCAUAAUCUUCCUAUCAAAUUUAAAUUUUCACCAUAAUUACGAAAUCUAAUGCAAUGUAUUUCCUACUCUAUGUUUCGGAAUUCUUAAUGUUAUCGAUUCGGUUUAAGAUAAGAUUGUAAUAAAUGAAUGAAAUUAAAAUUGAAUUUCAAUAUAAAAUUAUAAUAAUAAAAAAUAAUAAUAAAAAAAAAUAUAUUAAAAAAAAUAUUUUAUUUUAAUAUAUCAUUUUUAGGUAUAUAUUAAUAUUUUAAAUAUUGUAUAUGUAUUUUAUACAUGAUUUAUAUAUAAUAAAUAAUUAGAAUGAUUGUUCCAUAUUAAUAUUGUAUCACACUAUUAUAUCAUAUGUAUUUUUUUUUUAUAACUACUGAAAAAUAUUUUUAUUAAGCAAAGGUUAGAAAUAAACUUUUAUUUUGCAA